GGGAUAGAAUUCCAGGAGUAGCGGUGAAAUGCGUAGAUAUCUGGAGGAAUACCAAAGGCGAAGGCAGUCCCCUGGUCCGAUACUGACACUGAGGUACGAAAGCGUGGGGAGCAAACAGGAUUAGAUACCCUGGUAGUCCACGCCCUAAACGAUGUCGAUUAGCCAUUGGAAGGACCCCUUUUCCUUUCAGUGACGUAGCUAACGCGUUAAAUCGACCGCCUGGGAAGUACGACCGCAAGGUUAAAACUCAAAGGAAUUGACGGGGACCUGAACAAGCGGUGGAUGAUGUGGAUUAAUUCGAUGCUACGCGAAGAACCUUACCUACCUUUGACAUGGCCAAAGUUCUACCGAGAGGCGGAAGUACUCGUAAGAGGAUUGGCGCACAGGUGCUGCAUGGUUGUCGUCAGUUCGUGUCGUGAGAUGUUGGGUUCAGUCCCGCAACGAACGCAACCCUUAUCUUUAAUUGCUCCUAUUUUAACAGGCACUUUAAAGAAACUGCCAAUGAUAAGUUGGAGGAAGGUGGGGAUCACGUCAAGUCCGCAUGGCCUUUAUAGGUAGGGCUUCACACGUCAUACAAUGGUUAGAACAAAGAGCUGCAAAUUCGUAAGAAGGAGCCAAUCUCACAAACCUAACCUCAGUUCGAAUUGCGGUCUGCAACUCGAGCGCAUGAAGCCGGAAUCGCUAGUAAUCGUGGAUCAGAAUGCCACGGUGAAUACGUUCUUAGGUCUU
rnacentral:rRNA from 1 species